rnacentral:lncRNA from 1 species
UUUUGGCAUUCGAGCAUGCAAGAAGAGCUUUCAGGGUCGUCAAACCCGUCAAAGUUGGGCCUUGUCUCACAUAACAACAACACACCUAUCAUACAUUUCAAUUUGUCAGACUGGUAAGAAGCUCCUCACUGCUUUAACUAUGACUAGUAGAACGUUAGCAACUAGACUUAUCCUAAACAGAGUUUUCGUACAGACAAUUAUGCUGUUCUCCAAUGAUCAAGCUGAUGAAAACAUAAAAGAUAAUUUUACUGCAAAAAAGAAGCUAGAGAAGGAGAGACCACUGCUUGUACAUGGAAGAGAUGAUAAUAAUACAAAACUGUUGAUAUAUACAUGUGUAGAGGAAUCAUUUCACAAGGAACAUUUGUUGUAAUUUAGUACCUUGAUCGAAAUGUAAUAUGUAAAAUACAAGACAUAAUAAAUCUCAAUUGAAACUUUACAUGUAUUUUUUACAAGUUCUAUAUGCUAUCUAUAAAGGAUUAAGCGCUUAAGAUAAUUGAAUAAGAAUAACCACUAAGAAAACAACACAAUUUAAUGCAGUAGAAAUUCUUGGUCUUUGAUUAAACAUUCUAUGUUUCAUGAAUCUUCACCAUGUUGUUGUAAUAUAUGAAAGCCAUGUAUGAAGGUUAUAGCUUCUAGUUACAAAACAAGAGCUAGUUCUAAAAAUAAGAAGUACAAAGAAAACAUAACAAAGAGAUGAGAAGAGGACAUGCCUGAUACUGCUUCUGUCUGAAACCAAAGCUCAAAAAUCAUCUUCCGUGGAUGAUGUCUUGUUUUCUUCUUUUCUUUUCUUGUAACAGCUUUGUUGAAUGAUCUUGUUCUGUAAAACUAGAAAGAGCUUUUAGAGAGAGAGAGAGCAAAAUGAGUAGAGAUUCUGAUAUGCUCAAAGUAAUAUUCAUUCAUGCAAAAUAUUCCCACGGCAUAUACCCCCUUUCACGAUCAUUGUUUACGGUUUGCGAACCUUUCCUCAAUUCACAUCGUAAUGAAAAGUCUUGGGCCAGAGGCCCAUUAAGCCCCUUUUGCUGAUUCUCUCUUUUAUUUUUUGGGUACAACCUCCAUUGACAGAAGGAAGGAAGCAGCAAAAAAACAUGGCUGCAACUGGUCCUCGAACUGCGCCUUUCAACCAAAAUUGGGAUUUCAGCUGGUAUGUUCAGCUUCUGGUUUCUCUGUAUCUAGUGAUAGAACAUACUAAUUCAAUUAUUCAAAUCUUGAGUCUGGCAAGUUUGAAGGAAUCUCUUUGAUUUUAGAGUCCAAAGUUUCGAUCUUUACCCACAUUAACAGCCUAUACGACCUAAUUUCAUUAUCUCCGCUCAUUUAGAUUAUUUCGCACUUACUUUUGUACGAGUUUGCCCUUUGAGGAUCACACUGUUAUAGACUUGAUGAAAUUUUUCAAUUUGAUUUUUUUUUUUUUUGUGGUAGAAAGUUUCGGGCUGUGAUUAUCUUGUAAGAGUUUUUUUUGUAUGGGCUAAAUUUGCAGCAACUUGGAUGUGAAUUUCGAAACGGAACAACAAGCUUUCAUUGCGUACACAUCAUUGGCUGUUGAUAAAGAGGUUUGAAAGUUUCUCAAUUCACUCUUGUUAUAGUUUCUUAUGCUGUGACCGUUAAUGCAGUUGCAGCCUGAUAAGGUGAGAAGAGUCAUGUCCGUAUCAAACAACAAGCUUUCUGUGUGAGUUUCUCAAAGUUAAUCUAUCCUGCUUAAAUCGUUUUAAAACUGAUUGAUGCCUAAUUGGAAAUCUUUCGGGUCCGUUUACUAGUUUUUUUUUUAUAUUUGCUCAUUGGAUAACUUUACAGCCACUUUGAGGCAAUAGAGGCAAGGCUUCUUCGAGCAUCCUUCUCUGCGUUUCUUGACGUUCUUACACUGGCCACAAGAACAAUUCAAGAAUUUGGGCAAUUCUGAAAGCACCAAUGUGUAGACGAAUGUUGAUUCUUUCUCUUUGUCCCUUCAAGAAUUCAAUUAUUGUAGUGUUUAUCAAGCAGUGUAUUGUUAUGUUGUGGCUGAAUCGAAGUGUAAAAUAUAUUACAUUUAAAGCUUAUGAUUUUGACUAGGUUUGCGACUUGCGAGAUCGGUUAGAAUGGUUUGUUUGGUUUGGGUGAUUCGGUUUCUUUUCUUUUCUCUAUGAGUUUCAAUCUCAACAAGUAAGAAUUGAUGCUUCUGAAUUUCGUUUUCAUUUUGGAAAAGAAUGCAUUUGGAUUUUGAUGUAUGUAUUUUAUAAGUUUCUUGACCAUCAAUGAUGGUCAUUAACCUGGUUAACAUGAUGAGCUCUCAUUUGUAAGAAUCCCGAGCUAGUAUUCUAAUUUUGAAGAAUUCAAUGACCAUGGAUUUUCCAAUAUAUAUAUAUGCUCAUCAAGGUCUACACUCCCAAAAAAAACAAUUACGUAGAUCUCAAACAAGAAGUUUAUUUUCAAAAAUCAAUUACAUGGAUCUAAAACAAGAAGUUUAUUUCUGGAAAAACAAUGACAUAUUUAUUUUCAAACUCCAUAUAAUGUAGUUUAUUUCCAAACUCCAUUAAAUCAUCUGAUUGUUAGUUAAGGUGUUGGUGUUUCUCACAAUGCAUGUAGAAUCCGACUCAUAUGAUGGUCCUCAACAGAUCAUUACUUUCAGUAACAUAUUUGCAGUGACUUCUGUUUUGCUAUAAACCUCUAUCCAGGACUUAGAAUUGUUAGUAUAUUAUUAGAAAUUUAUUUAGCUCCUUAUUGUGUUUGAGGUACUUGGUGUAAGUGGUGUAAAACCCUUUUUCCUAAAAUGAUCUUUAUGCUUUCCAGGGAUGAAUUCAACCAGGAAGAUAUGGAAUUGGUUCAGUUUGUGAUCAAUAUAUUCAGGAAUUUACCGACUAUCCAUGAUAUUCCACCGCUUCAAAAGGCUAGAGAAUUCAUUGGUUAAUUUCUGUGGCUGAGGGUCAGUUUCUUGAACUCAUGUCCAGUGAAAACGGAUGGACAUAUUUCUUAUAAUUAUUCUGUCUACCGAGAGUUCUAACAGCUUGUCACUCAGUCUAGUGACUAGUUGUUCAAUCCAAACAAGUUUUCCUUUUCCAUUUCUUACUUAUUCUUUCCGGUUGCUAAUGCAGUUUUGCAAUUAUUUCUCUUAAUUCCUUUACAAUUUAGAUAACAGAGAACAAAAUUAUACUACUAAUAUGUAUUUCAGACUUUAUUAUUGCUAUUGGUUUGCAGUAAAUCUGCUUCUUAAAAGAUAAAACUUUUUUUGCUUGAAUAAUCUGUAUUUAUAGUUUCAUAUGCUAUUUUCGCUUGCUUAGAUGAUUUUGAAUUUCAUAAAACUUUUAUAAAUGUGUCAAUCUGUAUGUACUAUGUACACCAGUAAAAGUUUUGUGUUUCUUUACCAAUAUGCUAUUUUGAAGUGAUUUUGUAAGACUAAGCAUUCUAUUCUCUAAACUCGGUGUUGAUCAAUCGUUUUAAAACUUCCGAAUAUGUAAUAAAUAACUGAAUAUCUUUAUUUGUAUUUUAAGUCUGGUUUAGGCAUUCUUUACGCCUAUAUGCAUUCUACGUUCUUUAAUUUAAAGGCUUACUGAACAGGUUGUAAAAAAAGAAUUGUAUACGUGACUUUGUCUAUGUAACUUAGUAUUCAUAACUGGUUGACCAAACCAUUCGACAAAUAUAUGGAUAUUUGCUGACAAGAAACAAGACCAAGGACAAUAAUUAACAAAACCCUCUCUAAUGUCCAGGAGAUACUUAUGUCUCAGUGUUAUUAAUUAUACCUCGUGUUGUAAUCAAUAGACGACCAACAAACAUUCCCUUCGAGAUUUGAGAGAUUCAUAUCAUUAAUUGCAUUUCUCAAACUACACGAUUAAAACCUUAUUUCGAGUAUCUCAGACGUAACCCAUAAAAAGACAGGACAUGAGGAGAUAAGUCUCUCGAAAGUGGCCUCUUUGGGAUUCAUCAUAGAUAUUAAGUGCAAAAUCCUCAGACUAGGUAAGUAAAUAAACUCUGAAUCACGCAAGAAGACGCCAUCGAGUUUUAAAGAUACCAGUGUCUCGCAGACAUAAAGGCUUAGGGGCAUCCCAUGAAAAUAAGCCCUAAACCGCCUGUAACAAAAUUUAGGGAUAUGAGGACUAUCUGGAUCAGUCCGAACAUCUAGAUGUUGGAUCUUUCGCUUAACUGCUGCAUCAAUCCAUGGUGUGACGUAAGAAUUGUAAUAAUCUACACCUUUAUUCGAAUCUACACCUUAAUUUGACUCCACAUCUAACUCAACUUUGUCUAUGCUUGAAACCCUGUCGGAAUCGAAAAACCUGUCACCAAAAUUAACCAAGGCAUCUUUUUUCUGGAAGACUCGAUAAUUCAAUCCUAAACGAGGAACCCAAAGCCAGAGAGUCCUCCAUCUGGUGGACAGAACACUCGUUCUUACAGCAUCCUUUGUGGGAAGAUGAUAAAGUACUCGACAGAUCAAAGGAUCAGGCAAUUCGCUUAUCCUAUCUAGUUCAUUAUUAAGCCACACUUCCGGUUUUCUUCUUCUAGCCAUAUAUAUUUCUUUUGUUCUGAACUGUUUUGUCUGCAUAACAAAAAUUGGAAACCAAAGUUUCAAUAAGGAUGGAUUCCAAGGUUCACUAGAAGAUGAAUCAAACAAGACCACAACGAGACUAGUCAGCCUAGGGUUUAUUUCUUGUAAUAAGAAAAGUGGAUGAAAAACCGAAUGUUCGAUCAAAAGAAAUGAAAUCACUUACUCCCGUCACAAUUGGCGAAGAGAAAGGAAAGAUUCAGAUUGUCUGGGAAUUUGGAGUCUCUAGCCAGAGUAGAGUGCUUUGAUCUGAAAGAAAAAUGUUAAUUUAUGUUUUUGUUUGUUUGAAAGUUUAUGUUUUUUUAAGACACCCUCAAUGAGGGGUUUUAAGAGAGUAUUUAUAAUAAUAAUAUAAUAAAAAUUGAAAAAUCUAUAAUAUAAUAGGAGAGUUUCUCUCCUCCUAAGCCGACACGUCAGCAUUUUGGUGGGUCUCACUUUUAAAAAGUGUGAAAAAAUAUCAAGUCUGUGGCUCGAACCCGGAUUAUUGAGAUAUAAACUACAACAUUUAUACCACUGAACUAAAAGAUACUUUGUACAUUGAUAGCCGAAACUAAUAUAUAUUUAUGAAGGUCGGAAACCUUUGCUUCUUCGGUAUUCUCUGUGGGCCGGGCCUACAAAUGUAUUAUGAGUUUCAUUUUUAAAUGAGGUUCAUCACGUUAUAUGAAAAAAAAAACAAUUAUAGUUUUUCCAUAUUGUAAACUGUCUUCGUUUAACAUGAGUUAGGGUUCUUUUCAUUAUCUAUGCGUUCUAAUAAUAGUUUCACGCCUUCAGCAAGUUGUGGGACCCACGUUCAAUUUAGUUUGGUGAUUUAUUUCUCACGUUCAAUUUAGUUUGGUGAUAACUACAAAUUCUGAUGCCUGAGAUGGUAUUUUUACUUAGAGGAAGCUCAGAAACAAGAGUUUCUGCAGAAGAGUUUGGUUUCUUGAAAGAGACAUGUCACAGAUACGGUGAACACGGUCCAGUGCUACAUUCCAGGUGUAUCGAUUGUUUCAAAACGUUACCUUUGGCAUAUGUACUAUCAGAUAGUGUCUACACAACUCAUGGAGGCCUCUUUCAAAGCUCCUCUCGGGUCCAUGAAGAUAGCACUUUAUUGUUGGGUUCAUUAGAAGAACUUGACAAGGUUGACAUGAGACAAGUUGGUGAGAAUGAUGAUGGGAAUAUAACUCUUAACCAUGUUUUAUGGUCAUGUCUGUGGAUGGCUGAUGGUCUGAGCGAAAGUAAUUAUAAGGGACUUCUUUAGGGAGCUGAUUGCACUGAGAGUUUUCUAAAACAAUCGAGCUUAAAAGGUAAAUGUAAAGCUUCUAAUGAUGUUUUCAUUUGUGAUUAUAUAAACUUUAAUGUGUUUAUUUUUACCGUCUUUAGAUGAUUAUAAGAUCACAUGAAGGCCCUGAUGCAAGAUCAAAUCGAGAAUACAUGGGAAACAUGCUAUGCGGAUACUCAGUAGAUCAUGGAGUAGAAUCUGGAGAGCUUUAUACAAUCUUCAGUGCUUCACAUCUCUCACAAGUCACUUCCCUUAAACAAAGAGAAUCCGAAUGCAACCUGUUCUACUGCUUUUCUAACUGUCUAUAUUCACUCCACAUCUUCCACAUGAAUUGUUAUUAUUACUCUUCUUAACUACUACUAAAGAUGAAUAGUUUCUCAACAGAUUCUCUUUUCUACUGUUUCAGUUAUCAUCAUCUGACUACUAUAAAUGUGUUGCUUACAACGCCUGCAGCCCUCAUAACAAUUCCCUAAACAGAUCUGUAUUCUCAUUUGCUCUUCCUCACUGUAUUUUUUUUUUUAAAUUCCUUCCUCACUAUUUCAACUUGAGGUUGAGAAACUUCUGUUUCUUGAGAUCAAAACCAGCAAUGUGCUUAUUGGCAUGGUUAAUACUGGAGCUGUAAGGUGCACCGUCUAUGGUAAGAUUUAUGAUUAAUUUCUUGCUAUAUUUUAAUAUUUGUAAAUCAUGAAAAGUGACAGUUCAAAUAUUUUUUUUCCUUCUGCUGUUUUAUUGGACAUCUUUUGGACAUUUCUGUUUCCACAAUAGGCACAAGCUUUAGUGUAGGUGGUAUCUCAGCUGCCUCUUUCCUAUGUUUAUUAAACCAUUCAGCCAUUUUUGCAAUGAUGACAUCAAACAUUGGUAGCAAGGUGAACUUUCUUGCUUCCUUAAUUACACCAUUAAAAGAUUCCACUGAAUUGGUGGUGUCAACAUUGUACCUAUCUCCUUCAAAGUAACAUCUAGCCCAUUUCCUCUCUUCAACAUUUUUGUCAAGAUACUCCGCUGCAGAAGGAUACCUUCUGCGAAAAGCAUCAUAAAGGUUCAAGAACUCAGCCACUGUAUAAGCGUGUGCGCACUCCAUAAACUUAAAUGCACAAGUGUCUCUGUGGUUACGGACGUGGCCUUUAACAUUUUGAGACAAAUGCCAUAUACAAUACCCAUGAGCGGCCUGAGGGAACACUGCACCUACUGCAUUGAUCAAGCUUUUGUUUCUAUCUGAAAGAAAUACCAAUCCCGGGACAUCUCCUAUCACUGAUUUCAACUGUUCCAUAAACCACAUCCAGCUAUCAUUUUUUUCACCAUCUGCUACACCGAAAGCAAUUGGGUAGGUGUGAUGAUCAGGAUCCUGAGCAGCCGCAACAAUUAGAACUCCACCAUAAACAUUCUUGAGGUGUGUUGCAUCCACAAUGAGGACUUUCCUCAUCGCGCUGAACCCUUCUAUGCUAGCUCCCAAGGCAAAAAACAGAUACUUAAAUUUGUUGGCCUCAUCCACUACCACACGAGUUACAGUGUCAGGAUUCGUCUUCAUCAUUCCAGAUAUAUGAUGGCUUGUUCCAAUUCAAUACCAUUGGGAAGUAACUAAUCCUCGCUUCCAUCUUAGAUUCAUCUACCUUGAUCUUUCUGAAAAUACGCUCAACCAAACAAGUGUAUGUCACCUCCUCCACUGAUUUUUUCAACACAAUCGUGUGAAUUUCAUCUUCACCUUCACCAUCUCCUGAUAUCCAUUUUAUUUCAGCCCCAUCUUUCAUAUAAUAUCCCCCGUAAUCAAAACAAAUGAUUGUGCAAUGCGGAUUUUGCAUUUUUCCUGAAAUAAAAUGGAAUAUCAUAAAAAUUAUCAAUAUUAAGGCAAAUAUUUCAUUCUCACACCCUACAGUCUUCUCUCGCUAAUACUAGUUCUUUUAAAUCUACAAACAAAGUAAUACCCGUAAUACUAGUAGAACUAGUAAACAUAGUAAUAUCAGUAAUACCAGUAAAUCUAUUUUUUCUUAGUAAAACUAGUUAUCUUUGUAAUACCCAGAAAUUGUCCUUCCACUAACUAAUAAACUAUUAAAGACGAAUUUGUUCGGAUAUUUACUCUAUCUUAAUGAGAUUAAAAGGAAUUAAACAAAUAAAAAUCAUCAAAAACAGACUUAAAUAUAUAUAUAUAUAUCUCCAUCUAAAACCCAUAAACAUAGUUUCAUGAGUACAUUUUUAACAUUACCUAUCAUAUACACUACAUUUAAAUGAUAUUUUUUAAAACAUUUAAUCAGAAAAGUACAUAAAAUAACCUAAUAUCAACUAACACAGUAUUCAAAAUCGUCCUUAAAAUCUCAAAUUUUUCAUGAAAUCUUAUAUUUUAAACAUUACCCUUGAUAUAUGCUAUAUUUAAAUGAUAUUUCUUAAAAAAAUCAUCAAAAACGAACUUUAAAUACCUGUUUUAGAAGCUUCAAAAUCGCCUAUGGAAAAUGAAGAAAAAGAGCUGUACGUACGAAGAGCAGUGGGAGAGUGAAGAUAUGUGGGGCCAUCUUCAAUUUCAUUGGUUAAGGUUGUUUGUGGGCCAUGAAGAUGGUUGAUUUAUUUAAUUCAAGAUAUAAAUGUUAUGAGGUGGAUGAUAUAUAAUAAAUAAAUGGAAGGUUAGUUUAGGGUUUGCAAAUACAAAAGGGUAUUGAGAAUAGAGAAGGGAUAUGGAGAAUAGAUAUUUUCCAAUAAGGGCGUCUGAGAAUAAAGUCCACUCUCUCUCUAUAAAGAAGAAAAUAAAAGUCUUUUUUCUUUUUUCUCUUUUCAUCUUCUCCUUCCUGUUGCUGAAUCCGAAUAACAUCACCCAGAUUUCUCAGGCAGACAAACAUCAUUGAGCAAAAACGAUGCCGUAUUGCGAGGUCGCGAAAGAACAAGUCGUCGACGCAGAGACGACGCUGAAGAACAAUGCGGGGGUCAAGAUAUUCUACAGAACGUACGGUCACGGUCCUACCAAAGCUCUUCUCAUCAUAGGUAGAACUCUCUUUCUGCAAGCUUGAUUUCAAUUGGGUUUUCGAUUUAAAUGCUUAAAGUUUUCUCCUUUUUCGUUCAGGUUUAGCUGGAACACAUGAAUCGUGGGGUCCUCAGAUCAAGGGAUUAACGGGGACGGAUAAACCCAACGACGAAGAUGGAGACGUUUCCGAUGAUUCAGGGAUUGGCCAAGGCAUGGAGGUUUGCGCUUUCGACAAUCGUGGUAUGGGUCGAAGCUCCGUGCCCUCCCACAAAUCUGAAUACACGUAAGUCUCUAUACUUGAGAACCUGUCUGUAGUUAGAGAGCUGGUCGGAGCUAUAGAUAAUUAAGAGUUUAUAUUUUUUUUUUUUUUUACAAAUUUGAGGAGUUGUAUAUAAUUAAAAAAAUUCCAAUUUUUUUUUGGGAGUAGACCCUUUCUUUUUACUUGGAUUCAACAAAUUGUGAAGUUGGUUUUGUUUGGUUUUUGUUUGUGUCCUCUCAGAACAACUAUAAUGGCAAAGGAUUCAAUUAGUUUGUUGGAUCAUUUGGGAUGGGAGAGAGCUCACAUUAUUGGGCACUCGAUGGGUAAGUUUUUUUUCCAGACAAUUCAAGUGACUUUUGUUUGUUUUCUUCCUUCUUAGUUCUUACUGUUGUUCUCUUGGUGGCUUUUUGAUGAAACAGGAGCAAUGAUAGCUUGUAAGUUAGCUGCAAUGGUGCCGGAACGGGUUCUUUCUCUAGCGUUGCUUAACGUUACUGGUGGAGGUUUCGAGUGUUUCCCCAAGGUAACACACAUGGCGCUGUUUCUUGAAUCUUCCUUCUUUGAUAGCUAUAUGGUUUUGUUCAUAUGUGUUGUUGGAUCUUUUUGGUUUCUUAUAUGUAAAAAGUGAUUUGUUUUUAUGUGCUACAGCUUGACAGGCUAACACUUUCCAUUGCGAUACGUUUCUGGAUGGCAAAGACCCCUAAACAAAGAGCUAAAGUUGAUUUGGACACACAUUAUUCACAGGUGGCGGUUUUCUCUGUGGUGUGCCGAAAUUCUAUAAGAACCACAUUUACAUAGACCAGUUGUUUAAUAGAUUUGAUGAUUGGAGUUCUGGAAAAUGGCUUGUAUUGUUGGAGGAGGAAUGUUUUAUUACAAUUUUCUUUCUAUGUAAAGUUUGAUGCUGUAUUCUCUGUACGGUUGUUAAGAGCGACUAGAUGAUUGCUUUGGUUGAUACAUUGAAUCAUAUAUUGGUUACAAAAUUGUAUGUGUGAUGAUGUUAUUAUAAAUGCAGGAUUUUCUGGCAGAACGAAUAGGAACUAACACAAGGCGAGAUGUUUUAUAUGAGGUGAGCAUACUGGUUUCAUGCGGAGAAAUAAUGAUAUUAUGAUCAAAGAUAACUAAUGUUUGAGGGAUGCCAAAUGCAGCAAUACGUAAAAGGAAUAUCAGAAACUGGAAUGCAGUCCAAGAACGGGCUUGACGGCCAGCUUAAUGCUUGCUGGUUACAUAAAAUCACAAAACCAGAGAUCGAAUGGAUCCGCUCUGCUGGAUUUCUUGUCUCAGUCAUUCACGGAAGGUAUGUUACAACAGAUGCAGUUAGGAUACAGAAUCAUCUCAUGCUUUGAAGAAUCUUUUACGUGUACACAAGGGUUGAUUUUUGAGUAUUGUUUUGUAUGCAGACAUGAUGUCAUUGCUCAGAUACCUCACGCGAGAAGAUUGGCACAGAGGCUGUAUCCUGUUGCUAGAAUGGUGGAUCUUCAUGGUGGUCAUCUUGUUAGCCACGAGAGAACAGAUGAGGUACCCUUUUUUUGUUCCUGUUUACUGUCAUGUCUUUAACUUCUCUGUCUCUCUUGCGUCUGUUGUUAUAUAAAGACUUGAACACUAACAAGUCUUUGCUUCCUUAACCUUCUAUAGUCUGCAGUAAAUGUUUGUGGAUAUCAUAAUCCGAUUUGACCGUAACUUAUCAUAAAAGAUAAAAGACGGAACUAGAAUCAUUUCAUAAUCUGAAAACAAGCCUCUAUUUGGAAGAAAAUCGUCUUCUUAGUAGCUGAUCGACCAUUGUGAUUUGUAAUCAAUACUAUGUUAUGUAAACCUUGUUGUUAGUUUUGAUAGCAAACUAUAAAAGACUUACCAGGCUCUUGAGUUCUUUGUAAGAAUAGGCAUUGCUAUAAUAAAUGGUAGAGGGAACAAAUGUUUUUCUUGCUCUUGUCUGUACCUCUCUUAUAUCUCCUCAGAACCUGGAAGAAAGGAUUGAACAUGCAUUACUGAUCAGUUUUGCAGGUUAAUAAAUCUCUUAUGGAGUUAAUAAAGGCGUCAGAAAUGAAGAAAGCACCAACCGAUUGGACUAACCUGACACCUGAAACUCCCGGUAUAAGAGUUGCACAAGUAUCCACUCUUUCAGACCGUUGUUCUUCAUUUUCGAAGCUUGUUCUGAGACUAAUAUCAACGUUUCCUUUCAGGUUAUUUCACGAGGAGAAUAGCAUUGAUUAGAACCUCAUCAGAAGGCAAGAAUGCGGUCUCUCCUCCAUCUUUCAUCAUGGAAAAGUUUCAUCGAUGUCUACUUUUCCUCUUAGGGCUUCUGGUUUUGGCAUUCGAGCAUGCAAGAAGAGCUUUCAGGGUCGUCAAACCCGUCAAAGUUGGGCCUUGUCUCACAUAACAACAACACACCUAUCAUACAUUUCAAUUUGUCAGACUGGUAAGAAGCUCCUCACUGCUUUAACUAUGACUAGUAGAACGUUAGCAACUAGACUUAUCCUAAACAGAGUUUUCGUACAGACAAUUAUGCUGUUCUCCAAUGAUCAAGCUGAUGAAAACAUAAAAGAUAAUUUUACUGCAAAAAAGAAGCUAGAGAAGGAGAGACCACUGCUUGUACAUGGAAGAGAUGAUAAUAAUACAAAACUGUUGAUAUAUACAUGUGUAGAGGAAUCAUUUCACAAGGAACAUUUGUUGUAAUUUAGUACCUUGAUCGAAAUGUAAUAUGUAAAAUACAAGACAUAAUAAAUCUCAAUUGAAACUUUACAUGUAUUUUUUACAAGUUCUAUAUGCUAUCUAUAAAGGAUUAAGCGCUUAAGAUAAUUGAAUAAGAAUAACCACUAAGAAAACAACACAAUUUAAUGCAGUAGAAAUUCUUGGUCUUUGAUUAAACAUUCUAUGUUUCAUGAAUCUUCACCAUGUUGUUGUAAUAUAUGAAAGCCAUGUAUGAAGGUUAUAGCUUCUAGUUACAAAACAAGAGCUAGUUCUAAAAAUAAGAAGUACAAAGAAAACAUAACAAAGAGAUGAGAAGAGGACAUGCCUGAUACUGCUUCUGUCUGAAACCAAAGCUCAAAAAUCAUCUUCCGUGGAUGAUGUCUUGUUUUCUUCUUUUCUUUUCUUGUAACAGCUUUGUUGAAUGAUCUUGUUCUGUAAAACUAGAAAGAGCUUUUAGAGAGAGAGAGAGCAAAAUGAGUAGAGAUUCUGAUAUGCUCAAAGUAAUAUUCAUUCAUGCAAAAUAUUC